GUUGAAACAUUGGUUCCCGUACGAUCACCGAUGUUAAGCAACAUAGAGCCCGGUCAGUACCUAGAUAUGUGACCGCUUAGAAAUGCCAGGUGCUGUAAG